AGUGAACGCUGGCGGUAGGCCUAACACAUGCAAGUCGAACGGCAGCACAGUAAGAGCUUGCUCUUACGGGUGGCGAGUGGCGGACGGGUGAGGAAUACAUCGGAAUCUACUUUUUCGUGGGGGAUAACGUAGUGAAACUUACGCUAAUACCGCAUACGACCUACGGGUGAAAGCAGGGGAUCUUCGGACCUUGCGCGAUUGAAUGAGCCGAUGUCGGAUUAGCUAGUUGGCGGGGUAAAGGCCCACCAAGGCGACGAUCCGUAGCUGGUCUGAGAGGAUGAUCAGCCACACUGGAACUGAGACACGGUCCAGAAUCCUACGGGAGGAAGCAGUGGGGAAUAUUGGACAAUGGGCGCAAGCCUGAUCCAGCCAUACCGCGUGGGUGAAGAAGGCCUUCGGGUUGUAAAGCCCUUUUGUUGGGAAAGAAAAGCAGCAGGUUAAUACCCCGCUGUUCUGACGGUACCCAAAGAAUAAGCACCGGCUAACUUCGUG
rnacentral:rRNA from 1 species